rnacentral:rRNA from 1 species
UACGUAGGAUGCAAGCGUUGUCCGGAACUAUUGGGCGUAAAGAGCGCGCAGGCGGUAACUCAAGUCAGAUGUGAAAUAUCCGGGCUUAACCCGGAGGGGUCAUUUGAAACUGAGUAACUAGAGUACAGCAGAGGAUAGCGGAAUUCCCGGUGUAGUGGUGAAAUGCGUAGAUAUCGGGAGGAACACCAGUGGCGAAGGCGGCUAUCUGGGCUGAAACUGACGCUGAGGCGCGAAGGCUAGGGGAGCAAACAGG